AUUUGGUUUAGUUAGGAGGCAGAUAUUGAGCUAUAGGCCUUUUGAGGGGACUCUUAAAUGCUCUAAUUAAUCGUCCCCCAAGCAGCCUUGUACAUUU